rnacentral:rRNA from 1 species
UACGGAGGAUGCAAGCGUUAUCCGGAUUUAUUGGGUUUAAAGGGUGCGUAGGCGGCUUUUUAAGUCAGCGGUGAAAUUUUGCAGCUUAACUGUAACAGUGCCGUUGAUACUGGGGAGCUAGGAUUUGGUUGCUGUGGGUGGAAUGUGUGGUGUAGCGGUGAAAUGCUUAGAGAUCACACAGAAUAUCGAUUGCGAAGGCAGCUCACAAAGCCAAGAUUGACGCUGAGGCACGAAAGUGUGGGGAUCAAACAGGAUUAGAUA